rnacentral:rRNA from 1 species
GGGUUGUGAGGUUAAGCGACUAAGCGUACACGGUGGAUGCCUAGGCAGUCAGAGGCGAUGAAGGGCGUGCUAAUCUGCGAAAAGCGUCGGUAAGCUGAUAUGAAGCGUUAUAACCGACGAUACCCGAAUGGGGAAACCCAGUGCAAUACGUUGCACUAUCGUUAGAUGAAUACAUAGUCUAACGAGGCGAACCGGGGGAACUGAAACAUCUAAGUACCCCGAGGAAAAGAAAUCAACCGAGAUUCCCCCAGUAGCGGCGAGCGAACGGGGAGGAGCCCAGAGUCUGAAUCAGUUUGUGUGUUAGUGGAAGCGUCUGGAAAGUCGCACGGUACAGGGUGAUAGUCCCGUACACCAAAAUGCACAGGCUGUGAACUCGAUGAGUAGGGCGGGACACGUGACAUCCUGUCUGAAUAUGGGGGGACCAUCCUCCAAGGCUAAAUACUCCUGACUGACCGAUAGUGAACCAGUACCGUGAGGGAAAGGCGAAAAGAACCCCGGCGAGGGGAGUGAAAUAGAACCUGAAACCGUGUACGUACAAGCAGUGGGAGCACCUUCGUGGUGUGACUGCGUACCUUUUGUAUAAUGGGUCAGCGACUUAUAUUUUGUAGCAAGGUUAACCGAAUAGGGGAGCCGUAGGGAAACCGAGUCUUAACUGGGCGUCUAGUUGCAAGGUAUAGACCCGAAACCCGGUGAUCUAGCCAUGGGCAGGUUGAAGGUUGGGUAACACUAACUGGAGGACCGAACCGACUAAUGUUGAAAAAUUAGCGGAUGACUUGUGGCUGGGGGUGAAAGGCCAAUCAAACCGGGAGAUAGCUGGUUCUCCCCGAAAGCUAUUUAGGUAGCGCCUCGUGAACUCAUCUUCGGGGGUAGAGCACUGUUUCGGCUAGGGGGCCAUCCCGGCUUACCAAACCGAUGCAAACUCCGAAUACCGAAGAAUGUUAUCACGGGAGACACACGGCGGGUGCUAACGUCCGUCGUGAAGAGGGAAACAACCCAGACCGCCAGCUAAGGUCCCAAAGUCAUGGUUAAGUGGGAAACGAUGUGGGAAGGCACAGACAGCCAGGAUGUUGGCUUAGAAGCAGCCAUCAUUUAAAGAAAGCGUAAUAGCUCACUGGUCGAGUCGGCCUGCGCGGAAGAUGUAACGGGGCUAAACCAUGCACCGAAGCUGCGGCAGCGACACUUAGGU